GUUGUGGUUAAAAAGCUCGUAGUUGGAUCUCGGCGGACUGAGGGCGGUUUGCUUGCUAGUAUUACUGCCCUAUAGUCCGUAGUUUUGCCAGAGGUUUCGGGGUGCUCUUAAUCGAGUGUCCCGGGAUGCUGGCAGGUUUACUUUGAAAAAAUUAGAGUGCUCAAAGCAGGCUAUUACGCCUGAAUGUUCGUGCAUGGAAUAAUAGAAUAGGAAGUCGUUUCUAUUUUGUUGGUUUUCGGAAAUCGACUUAAUGAUUAAUAGGGACAGUCGGGGGCAUUUGUAUUCAAACGACAGAGGUGAAAUUCUUGGACCGUUUGAAGACAAACUACUGCGAAAGCAUUUGCCAAGAAUGUUUUCAUUAAUCAAGAACGAAAGUUAAAGGUUCGAAGGCGAUUAGAUACCGCCCUAGUUUUAACCAUAAACGAUGCCCAGCUAGCGAUCUGCGGACGU
rnacentral:rRNA from 1 species